rnacentral:rRNA from 1 species
UACGUAGGGAGCAAGCGUUGUCCGGAAUCAUUGGGCGUAAAGCGCGCGUAGGUGGCCCCGUAAGUCCGCUGUGAAAGUCAAAGGCUCAACCUUUGAAAGCCGGUGGAUACUGUGGGACUAGAGUACGGAAGAGGCGAGUGGAAUUCCUGGUGUAGCGGUGGAAUGCGCAGAUAUCAGGAGGAACACCAAUAGCGAAGGCAGCUCGCUGGGACGUUACUGACGCUGAGGCACGAAAGCGUGGGGAGCAAACAGG